UCAAGUUAUUAAGGGUGCAGGGCGGAUGCCUUGGCACUAGGAGCCGAUGAAGGACGUGAUAAGCUGCGAUAAGCUUCGGGGAGUUGCACGUAAACUUUGAUCCGAAGAUUUCCGAAUGAGGAAACUCACUUAGAGUAAUGUCUAAGUAUCAUUAAGUGAAUACAUAGCUUAAUGAGGGGAACUCAGGGAACUGAAACAUCUAAGUACCUGAAGGAAGAGAAAGAAAUUCGAUUCCGUAAGUAGCGCGAGCGAACGCGGAUUAGCCCAAACCAAUAAAGUUUUCUUUAUUGGGGUUGCGGACAUAUCAUAACGAAGAGGUAUCGUAAUUGAAGAGGUUUGGAAAGACCCACCCACAGAAGGUAAUAGUCCUGUAUGUUAAACGAGAAGACUUUAGAUAUGAUCCAGAGUACCACGGGACACGUGAAACCCUGUGGGAAGCAGGAGGGACCACCCUCCAAGGCUAAAUACUACCUAGUGACCGAUAGCGUAUAGUACCGUGAGGGAAAGGUGAAAAGAACCCCGGGAGGGGAGUGAAAUAGAACCUGAAACCCUGCACUUACAAGCUGUGGAAGCACAUUUCUUGUGUGACCGCGUACUUUUUGUAGAACGGGCCAACGAGUUACGUUAAGUAGCAAGGUUAAGCACUUAAGGUGUGGAGCCGUAGCGAAAGCGAGUUUUAACUGAGCGUUCAGUUACUUGACGUAGACCCGAAACCGGGCGACCUACCCAUGAGCAGGAUGAAGCGAAAGUAAAAUUUCGUGGAGGUCCGAACCCACGAGCGUUGAAAAGCUCGGGGAUGACUUGUGGGUAGCGGUGAAAUUCCAAUCGAGCCCGGAGAUAGCUGGUUCUCCCCGAAAUAGCUUUAGGGCUAGCCUCAAGGUGAGAGAUACGGAGGUAGAGCACUGAAUGUCCUAGGGGGUAUUGCACCUACCGAAGACUAUCAAACUCCGAAUGCCGUCAUCUUAUACUUGGGAGUCAGACUGUGGGUGAUAAGAUUCAUAGUCGAAAGGGCAACAGCCCAGAUCGUCAGCUAAGGUCCCUAAAUGUAAGUUAAGUGGUAAAGGAUGUGGGAUUGCACAGACAACCAGGAUGUUGGCUUAGAAGCAGCCACUCAUUCAAAGAGUGCGUAAUAGCUCACUGGUCGAGUGAUCCUGCGCCGAAGAUUUCCGGGGCUAAAACUUACUACCGAAGCUACGGCAUCAGUAAUGAUGGGUAGGGGAGCUUCCCAUACGGGUUGAAGCAUGACCGUAAGGACAUGUGGACAGUAUGGGAGUGAGAAUGUUGGCAUGAGUAGCGAGAUGUGGGUGAGAAUCCCACAGGCCGUAAACCCAAGGUUUCCAGGGGAAGGUUCGUCCGCCCUGGGUUAGUCGGGACCUAAGCUGAGGCCGAAAGGCGUAGGUGAUGGACAACAGGUUGAUAUUCCUGUACUACCGAUAACCGUUUGAGAGAUGGGAUGACACAGUAGGAUAAGCUAAGCACACUGUUGGUUAUGUGUGCCCAAGCAUUGAGGCAGUCAAAGUAGGUAAAUCCGCUUUGAUAAUGCUGGGAUGUGAUGGGGAGCGAAAUUUAGUAGCGAAGUAGCUGAUUUCACACUGUCAAGAAAAGUCUCUAUCGAGGUUAAAGGUACCCGUACCGCAAACCGACACAGGUGGGUGAGGAGAGUAUCCUAAGGCCAGCGAGAGAACUGUUGUUAAGGAACUCGGCAAAAUGACCCCGUAACUUAGGGAUAAGGGGUGCCACCAUCAGGUGGCCGCAGAGAAUAGGCCCAAGCGACUGUUUACCAAAAACAUAGGUUUCUGCUAAGUCGCAAGACGAUGUAUAGGAGCUGACGCCUGCCCGGUGCUGGAAGGUUAAGGGGAUCUGUUAGAGCAAUCGAAGCAGUGAACUUAAGCCCCAGUAAACGGCGGCCGUAACUAUAACGGUCCUAAGGUAGCGAAAUUCCUUGUCGGGUAAGUUCCGACCCGCACGAAAGGCGUAACGAUUUGGGCACUGUCUCAACAACAGACUCGGUGAAAUUGUAAUUCCGGUGAAGAUGCCGGAUACCUGCGACAGGACGGAAAGACCCCAUGGAGCUUUACUGUAGCUUGACAUUGGGUCUUGGUACUACAUGUACAGGAUAGGUGGGAGGCUUUGAAACCAGGACGCCAGUUUUUGGCGGAGCCAUCCUUGGGAUACCACCCUUGUAGUACUGGGACUCUAACCAUAGGCCAUGAAUCUGGUCUUGGGACACUGUCAGGUGGGCAGUUUGACUGGGGCGGUCGCCUCCCAAAAGGUAACGGAGGCGCUCAAAGGUUCUCUCAGUACGGUCGGAAAUCGUACGUAGAGUGUAAAGGCAAAAGAGAGCUUGAUUGCAAGACAUACAGGUCGAGCAAGGAUGAAAAUCGGACUUAGUGAUCCGGUGGUUCUGCGUGGAAGGGCCAUCGCUCAACGGAUAAAAGCUACCCUGGGGAUAACAGGCUUAUCUCCCCCAAGAGUCCACAUCGACGGGGAGGUUUGGCACCUCGAUGUCGGCUCAUCACAUCCUGGGGCUGUAGUAGGUCCCAAGGGUUGGGCUGUUCGCCCAUUAAAGUGGUACGCGAGCUGGGUUCAGAACGUCGUGAGACAGUUCGGUCCCUAUCCGUCGCAGGCGUAGGAAAUUUGAGAAGACCUGUCCUUAGUACGAGAGGACCGGGAUGGACGUACCUCUGGUGUACCAGUUGUCCUGCCAAGGGCAUGGCUGGGUAGCUAUGUACGGAAUGGAUAAGCGCUGAAAGCAUCUAAGCGCGAAGCCAACUUCAAGAUAAGAUUUCCCACCGCAAGGGUAAGACCCCAGAAAGACUAUCUGGUUGAUAGGUCGAAGGUGUAAGUGCAGCAAUGUAUUUAGCUUAUCGAUACUAAUAGGUCGAGGACUUGACCAA
rnacentral:rRNA from 1 species